GGGUGUGGCUCAAAUGGUAGAGCACCUGCCUAGCAAGCAUGACAUCCUGGGUUCAAACCCCAGUACCACCA